rnacentral:rRNA from 1 species
UACGUAGGUGGCAAGCGUUGUCCGGAUUUAUUGGGCGUAAAGAGCUCGUAGGCGGCCCUCCACGUCGGAUGUGAAAGCUCAGGGCUCAACCCUGAGAUGCCAUUCGAUACGGGAAGGCUAGAGGUAGGUAGGGGAAAGUGGAAUUCCUGGUGUAGCGGUGAAAUGCGCAGAUAUCAGGAGGAACACCGGUGGCGAAGGCGGCUUUCUGGGCCUUACCUGACGCUGAGGAGCGAAAGCUGGGGGAGCGAACAGG